rnacentral:misc_RNA from 1 species
CCAAGUUACCUAACACAGCCUCUGACUAUGUCUAUGUAAUGUUAUUUCUGGGCUGUAUCUGAUUUACGGAUCGCUCGGAUGGCAUUGCUGGGAAGUUAGCAGAGUGUCCAUGAGAUCAGGCCGGGGACUAUGCCCCAAUGCCUUGAUCGCCAACGGUGAUACAGAAAUGAGCUUGAACGGUUCGGGUCGUAACACUCCAUUACUUCCUGCGCUUGACUUGUUCAUAGCCGACUCUGACUGGAGCGGCCAUGUAGCUGCGUGCAGGUGGUAACGUUCUGCGCGUAGCUUAUUGGUUGCACCUUAUGAAUUGCAAUUGUUCAGUCAGAGACCCGGUGCGUUACAAACAUUCUCCCUUCGGGUGAGUCCUCUCCGUACUUUCUAAUGUUUUAAACAACCAUGGCUAUGUAUGGUGUUGCGUCGGUAGUGAUACUGACAAUGCACUGUUCUGGCCCGGUGCGCGUUACCUUCGGGUGACAAACGCCAACCUUA